AUUAAUCGAGGUCGAGUACCUCAAAAUUUAAU
rfam:Flavobacterium branchiophilum FL-15, complete genome.